rnacentral:rRNA from 1 species
GUAUAAUGGGUCAGCGACUUAUAUUCUGUAGCAAGGUUAACCGUAUAGGGGAGCCGCAGGGAAACCGAGUCUUAACUGGGCGUUAAGUUGCAGGGUAUAGACCCGAAACCCGGUGAUCUAGCCAUGGGCAGGUUGAAGGUUGGGUAACACUAACUGGAGGACCGAACCGACUAAUGUUGAAAAAUUAGCGGAUGACUUGUGGCUGGGGGUGAAAGGCCAAUCAAACCGGGAGAUAGCUGGUUCUCCCCGAAAGCUAUUUAGGUAGCGCCUCGUGAACUCAUCUUCGGGGGUAGAGCACUGUUUCGGCUAGGGGGUCAUCCCGACUUACCAACCCGAUGCAAACUACGAAUACCGAAGAAUGUUAUCACGGGAGACACACGGCGGGUGCUAACGUCCGUCGUGAAGAGGGAAACAACCCAGACCGCCAGCUAAGGUCCCAAAGUCACAGUUAAGUGGGAAACGAUGUGGGAAGGCACAGACAGCCAGGAUGUUGGCUUAGAAGCAGCCAUCAUUUAAAGAAAGCGUAAUAGCUCACUGGUCGAGUCGGCCUGCGCGGAAGAUGUAACGGGGCUAAACUGUGCAC